rnacentral:lncRNA from 1 species
GAAAGGGGGAGAGAGGAUCCAUGUGAUCUCUGACUCCCCCAUUAACACCAUGCACCAACGGAUCUUUUAAGAAAAGGAUAAAAGAAGAAAACAAAAAUUCUCCUCUUUUUCCACCUGACUAUACGUUACCUCCCUCACACACUCACCUAUUACCACUCAUAACUACCUACUACCCUAUCUCUCUCUAUCCACUCAAAAUCACUCUCUCUGAGAAACAAAAAAAAGGAAAAAAG